UGUUGAUAAAGAUGUUUUUUUGUUUUUUCAGGACCCAACCCAAUGUUCCCAUGAUACCUCAAAUUCCAAAUAUCUUCCCCUUCGAUUUUAUGCCACAGACAGUUCCUCAACAGCCACCUGUGAACCCACCAUUCCAGGAUGGUCCUCCACAAGCCCAGGAGCCUCAGCAGCAAACUGAGCCGGAGCAGAAGGCUCAGACAGUACAGGUGUCUACCAAGCCAUGAAGAUACUGCUUAGGGACAUCUUUGAAGCUGAGUGGGAAAAGAUGGCAAACAGCAGUGUGUUAAACUUUUUUGUCUAAUGCUUUUUAGAAUUAGUACUUUUUCUGGAAUAAUAAUUUAAAAUGAGCUGAUUUUUGAACAUGAAGAAGAUGAUUUACCCUUAUGUAAAACAAUUUUUUUUUAAGUUCUAUAUGUGCAUGGUAUACAGUUUGAAAUGUGCUGUUUUGGCUUCAUUCUGAUGUGAGAAAAUUAUACCUUAACUGAAUAUCAAACAAAUGUCAAUUCUGAAUAUUUUAUCAUGUAGGCCUUUUGUGAGUAGUGUUUCAGUAAUAA